CGUAGGGGGCAAGCGUUGUCCGGAUUUAUUGGGCGUAAAGAGCGUGUAGGCGGCCAUACAGGUCCGUUGUGAAAACUGGAGGCUUAACCUCCAGACGUCGAUGGAAACCGUAUGGCUAGAGUCCGGAAGAGGAGAGUGGAAUUCCUGGUGUAGCGGUGAAAUGCGCAGAUAUCAGGAAGAACACCCGUGGCGAAGGCGGCUCUCUGGGACGGUACUGACGCUGAGACGCGAAAGCGUGGGGAGCGAACAGGAUUAGAUACCCUGGUAGUCCACGCCGUAAACGAUGGGUGCUAGGUGUGGGGGGUGUCAACUCCCUCCGUGCCGCAGCUAACGCAUUAAGCACCCCGCCUGGGGAGUACGGCCGCAAGGCUA
rnacentral:rRNA from 1 species